rnacentral:rRNA from 1 species
AUUGCGCAGCUACACAUGCAGUCGAGCGGUAGCACAGAGAGCUUGCUCUCGGGUGACGAGCGGCGGACGGGUGAGUAAUGUCUGGGAAACUGCCUGAUGGAGGGGGAUAACUACUGGAAACGGUAGCUAAUACCGCAUAACGUCGCAAGACCAAAGUGGGGGACCUUCGGGCCUCAUGCCAUCAGAUGUGCCCAGAUGGGAUUAGCUAGUAGGUGGGGUAACGGCUCACCUAGGCGACGAUCCCUAGCUGGUCUGAGAGGAUGACCAGCCACACUGGAACUGAGACACGGUCCAGACUCCUACGGGAGGCAGCAGUGGGGAAUAUUGCACAAUGGGCGCAAGCCUGAUGCAGCCAUGCCGCGUGUGUGAAGAAGGCCUUCGGGUUGUAAAGCACUUUCAGCGGGGAGGAAGGCGAUAAGGUUAAUAACCUUGGCGAUUGACGUUACCCGCAGAAGAAGCACCGGCUAACUCCGUGCCAGCAGCCGCGGUAAUACGGAGGGUGCAAGCGUUAAUCGGAAUUACUGGGCGUAAAGCGCACGCAGGCGGUCUGUCAAGUCGGAUGUGAAAUCCCCGGGCUCAACCUGGGAACUGCAUUCGAAACUGGCAGGCUAGAGUCUUGUAGAGGGGGGUAGAAUUCCAGGUGUAGCGGUGAAAUGCGUAGAGAUCUGGAGGAAUACCGGUGGCGAAGGCGGCCCCCUGGACAAAGACUGACGCUCAGGUGCGAAAGCGUGGGGAGCAAACAGGAUUAGAUACCCUGGUAGUCCACGCCGUAAACGAUGUCGAUUUGGAGGUUGUGCCCUUGAGGCGUGGCUUCCGGAGCUAACGCGUUAAAUCGACCGCCUGGGGAGUACGGCCGCAAGGUUAAAACUCAAAUGAAUUGACGGGGGCCCGCACAAGCGGUGGAGCAUGUGGUUUAAUUCGAUGCAACGCGAAGAACCUUACCUGGUCUUGACAUCCACAGAACUUUCCAGAGAUGGAUUGGUGCCUUCGGGAACUGUGAGACAGGUGCUGCAUGGCUGUCGUCAGCUCGUGUUGUGAAAUGUUGGGUUAAGUCCCGCAACGAGCGCAACCCUUAUCCUUUGUUGCCAGCGGUUAGGCCGGGAACUCAAAGGAGACUGCCAGUGAUAAACUGGAGGAAGGUGGGGAUGACGUCAAGUCAUCAUGGCCCUUACGACCAGGGCUACACACGUGCUACAAUGGCAUAUACAAAGAGAAGCGACCUCGCGAGAGCAAGCGGACCUCAUAAA